ensembl:snRNA U4 U4 spliceosomal RNA
AGCUUUGCGCAGUGGCAGUAUCGUAGCCAAUGAGGUUUAUCCGAGGCGCGAUUAUUGCUAAUUGAAAGCAGAAACCAGAUCUUGUUCAUCUUUGUGUCCCUACCUUCUGCCAUAGUGCGUAUCGUAAAGUAGGCACUUAAAUAUUUUAUUGAACUGAAAAUAUUUC